ACGCUGAUAUAAGGAGGUAAGGCUUUGGAACCCUACAGAUCUUGGGCUGAAGGACCUGUACAGAAUGGGCAAUGAAGAGUCCGGUCCAGCUCCCCACCUUCAGUCCCGCGAAAAUUCGAAGCCGAAGUCUUCGCGCCACCACCACUCGCAGUCGCAAGGGCCUCCGCUACCAGAUUAUGGUGACGUACAUCCACCUAUCGUUGGCGAGAAACUAAGAAGCAGAGGAUAGGGUUGAAUGAAUCUUUAACUAUGUGCACUAUGGGCCAGCUACCGAAUCCCAAACCUCCAGGCUCAGUAGAAAUCAGCAAGUUCAAGUUGAAAUUUUAUCACUGUCAUUGUUUUGGAACAUUCCCAAAUUUUCCUGUGAAAUGUACUGUUAACAUUUCCCUUACUAUUCCUUUUCUCCUUGGUUGUAUCAUUGUCACAUCCUAAACUCUGUUUAUCUCCCGCUCUGUGAAUUCUUUGGACAUGUGAUGAUCUGAAACUAUUGUAUCUAAUUCAGGAUGCAUUUAGAUCUGCUUCACUUC